AGUUUGAUCCUGGCUCAGAACGAACGCUGGCGGCAGGCUUAAUACAUGCAAGUCGAGCGAUUAAAGCUCCUUCGGGAGUGUAUAAAGUGGCAAACGGGUGAGUAACAGGUGGAUAAUCUGCCCUUUGGCGGGGGAUAACGGUUGGAAACGGCCGCUAAUACCGCAUGUGAUUGCUAGUUCUUCGGGAUAUGCAAAGAAAGGCGCUUCACGGCGCCGCCAAAGGAUGAGUCCGCCCCCCAUUAGCUAGUUGGUAAGGUAACGGCUUACCAAGGCUUCGAUGGGUAGCCGAGCUGAGAGGUUGAUCGGCCACACUGGGACUGAGAUACGGCCCAGACACCUACGGGUGGCAGCAGUAGGGAAUAUUGCGCAAUGGACGAAAGUCUGACGCAGCCAUGCCGCGUGAGUGAUGAAGGCCUUCGGGUCGUAAAGCUCUUUUCUGAGGGAAGAACAUCCAGUGCAGGAAAUGGCACUGGCUUGACGGUACCUCAGGAAUAAGGAGCGGCUAACUCCGUGCCAGCAGCCGCGGUAAUACGGAGGCUCCUAGCGUUGUUCGGAAUUACUGGGCGUAAAGGGAGCGCAGGCGGAUAGGUCAGUUUAAAGUGGAAUCCCGAGGCUCAACCUCGGAAGUGCUUUGGAUACUGCCUGUCUUGAGUACGUGAGAGGUGGGCGGAAUUCCAGGUGUAGCGGUGAAAUGCGUAGAUAUCUGGAGGAACAUCGAUGGCGAAAGCAGCCCACUGGCACGAAACUGACGCUGAGGCUCGAAAGCGUGGGGAGCGAACGGGAUUAGAUACCCCGGUAGUCCACGCCGUAAACGUUGUGCACUAGGUGUGGGGGGUAUCGACCCCUCCCGUGCCGCAGCUAACGCAUUAAGUGCACCGCCUGGGGAGUACGAUCGCAAGCUGAAACUCAAAGGAAUUGACGGGGCCCGCACAGCGUGGAGCAUGUGGUUUAAUUCGACGCAACGCGAAGAACCUUACCUGGGUUUGACAUGUUAGUAGUAAGAACCUGAAAGGGGGAUGAACUUGGGGCAACUCAAGUAGCUAACACAGGUGCUGCAUGGCUGUCGUCAGCUCGUGCCGUGAGGUGUUGGGUUAAGUCCCGCAACGAGCGCAACCCCUAUCCUCUGUUGCCCUGCUGAAGGGAUCUCUGAGGAAACUGCCGGCGACAAGUUGGAGGAAGGUGGGGAUGACGUCAAGUCAUCAUGGCCUUUAUAUCCAGGGCUACACACGUGCUACAAUGGCUGCUACAGAGGGAAGCGAGCCUGUGAGGGUGAGCAAAUCCCGAAAAGCAGUCUCAGUUGGGAUCGGAGUCUGCAACUCGACUCCGUGAACGUGGAAUCGCUAGUAAUCGCGGAUCAGCAAUGCCGCGGUGAAUACGUUCCCGGGCCUUGUACACACCGCCCGUCACACCACGAAAGUCUGUUGUACCCGAAGUAGAUGAGCUAACCUGCAAGGGGGGCAGUCUACGAAGGUAUGGCAGGUAAUUGGGGUGAAGUCGUAACAAGGUAACCGUAA
rnacentral:rRNA from 1 species